rnacentral:rRNA from 1 species
UACGUAGGGUGCGAGCGUUAAUCGGAAUUACUGGGCGUAAAGCGUGCGCAGGCGGUUAUGCAAGACAGAUGUGAAAUCCCCGGGCUCAACCUGGGAACUGCAUUUGUGACUGCAUGGCUGGAGUGCGGCAGAGGGGGAUGGAAUUCCGCGUGUAGCAGUGAAAUGCGUAGAUAUGCGGAGGAACACCGAUGGCGAAGGCAAUCCCCUGGGCCUGCACUGACGCUCAUGCACGAAAGCGUGGGGAGUAAACAGG